CAACCCUAACUCACACCCCCCACCCGGCCUCCCUCCCCUCUCUGGUUCUCCCCAAAUCUUCCCCACGCCACCUCUCUCUCCCCACGGUCGGCGGCCUGCAGGCACAAGCGGACAGCCGCCCUCCGCCUCCCCAGCUUGGAGCGAAUCCGCUGGAGGCUCCCCUUCCUCGAGCUGCAGCGAUCGGACGCCGGCCGACAGCUUCUUUCGCUCGCGCCGGGCGAAGCGGCCUGUCGGAGCUGCUCGGCCGGAUCCGGGAGAUGCCGGCCUGGCGGCGCCCCUCCUCCACGGCGAUGCAGCGGCGGCACCCCACCUUGAAUCCGAUGAGGUACUCCAACGACGACGAGAUCAGGGCCCAUGUGGAGUUACUUCAACACCUAGGGCCUCACUUUUGUUGUGGACAGUAGUGUCAGAGUCCUCCUGAGGUUAGGGAUGUUUUCAACCAAUGUGAAACAAGGAACAAAUCUUCCUAAUACUACAAAGAGUUUGAGGUGGAGAAGCAUGCAGGAGCAGAUCAUCUAGACAAACUUUUGUUUAGUAGGAUGAGUUGGAUACUUGUAAUAUGUGUGUUUGCUAACUUGUGGUUGUGACACAGUAUUUGUAAUUGUGAUAUUGUAUGUUGCUACUUGAGAUUUUGUUUAGUAUGUGAAAAUUGAGCAUUAAGGCCUAAAUGGAGUGGGCUUUGAAAAAAUAUUGGGUUUUGUUAA